CUGUCUAUCUGUCUAUCAUCUGUCUGUCUAUCUAUAAUCUGUCUGUCUGUCUAUCAUCUGUCUGUCUGUCUAUCAUCUGUCUGUCUGUCUAUCAUCUGUCUGUCUGUCUAUCAUCUGUCUGUCUGUCUAUCAUCUGUCUGUAUGUAUGUCUGUCUGUCAUCUGUCUGUCUGUCUGUCUGUCUAUCAUCUGUCUGUCUGUCUGUCUGUCUGUCUGUCUAUCAUCUGUCUGUCUGUCUGUCUCUCAUACGUCUGUCUGUCUAUCAUCUGUCUGUCUAUUUGUCUGUCUAUCUAUCUGUCUAUCAUCUGUCUAUCUGUCUGUCUGUCUGUCUAUCAUCUGUCUGUCUAUCUAUCUGUCUAUCAUCUGUCUAUCUGUCUGUCUGUCUGUCUAUAUCUGUCUGUCUGUCUAUCAUCUGUCUGUCUCUCUCUGUCUGUCUAUCAUCUCUCUGUCUGUCUGUCUGUCUCUCAUACGUCUGUCUGUCUAUCAUCUGUCUGUCUAUUUGUCUGUCUAUCUAUCUGUCUAUCAUCUGUCUAUCUGUCUGUCUGUCUAUCUGUCUAUCAUCUGUCUGUCUGUCUGUCUGUCUGUCUAUCUGUCUAUCAUCUGUCUGUCUGUCUGUCUGUAUAUUGUCUGUCUGUCUUUACAUGAAACAACUCAAAGUAAACCGACAAUUUAUAAAAUAUGUGGCUUUCUAACAAGAUCAUUUAAUUUGUAUCUAGUUUUAUCUACUUGUAUCUAGUCUAGUUAAUUGAGUCUUGUGCAGAUUAUCCAUUAAUCGCAUCUCUGAAUGUAUGUUUGUAUUCCAGGCCUUUCAUUUGAUUAUUAAAUAAACAGAUUGUUAAUCUCUGACUGCUGAGUUACAGCUCGCAACAUAAUCUCAUGUCCAGUAAUCUCUCUCUCUCUCUCUCUCUCUCUGUCUCUCUGUCUCUGGCUCUCUUUCUCUCUCUGCUCGCUUAUCCCUGUUAAUUUAAUUACAAAUGACGUGAUUAAAAAUUCAUUAAAGUAUUAGAAAUAAAGAACAUGUAUUUCCAUCAGGGAGACACGAUUAGUACAUUGACCCUCGCGGCUUGGGUCCCUGGAGUAUUUUACCCACUCAUCUCUGUCUCACAGGGGUUUUAUGUUUUUCAUUAAAAUUGGUUAUUUUUCUCAUUGUGUUUUUUGCUAAUUAAAUUUACUUUUGUUUACUUUUUGUAUAUUUUUUUGUAAAAUGUUUAUAUUAAAGACAUUAAUACAUUUUACUCCAUUUAUUUAGUUUGAGUUAUUAUAGAACAUCAAGUUGAACGACGAUAAGAAAAUGAAAAAUAUGGUCUUGGCCACAAGCUGAAAUAUGUUACAAUUGAAAUACUUCAUAGUUUUUAUUUUAAUGUUAAAUUAGUUUUUAUUUUAUAUAGUUUUUAGCACUUUUUAAAAUGAAGUUUUAUUUAUUUUGUUCUGUUUUAUUACUUAUAUACAUCAAGUUAAAUGAAAAUGAACCUUAUAAAUAAUUGUUUUCAGACAGGUUUCCUUGACAGGAGAUGGUGUUUAUGCAUCCAGAAAAGCCACUCUUGAUCUGGGAUCAUCUAGAGACUGAUGGUGUUGCUUCUUUUGCACGCUAAGAAGUGCUUCUGGCUCUCAGCGCGGCCGCUGCGGAUCCAGGUGUGAACACAGUCUAUGGUUUGGCAGAUUCCCCCUCAGUCGCCCUGUUUGGACCAGAACUCGGAGAGGAAAGACUCAUCAGACGCAGCGUGAAAUCCACAGAUACGUCAUGGUGUGAACGGUAAAACUGGACUCUGAGAUUCUGCUGUUUUCUUAAAUAUUCCCAGAGUUUGAAGACUCCGAUGAAGGCUUUGAUGAUUGUUUGCUAAGUCUUCAUCAUCAUGUGGAACUCUAUUGCCAUGGGAACUGAUGAUGCAGACGAGAGAAGGCCUCUAAUUGGUUCAGUCGGUUCCAGCAGCUUCUUGGACCACGGCGACUAGUUUUGAAGCUGUCUUGAUGACUCACAGAUGAAUAAAAAGUUGAAAAGAAAGUGCAGCAAACAGAGAGACGGAGUGUCUGUUGUCAUUGAUUUCAAUGAUUCAGUCGGAUCUGCAUUCAUUCUCCGCAAAGUGCCGAAUGCUUUCUGGACGUGAAGAGAAAAAAGGGUCUUUAAACGAAACAGAUGUGACUCUGCAGCAGGUUACAGUGUGUGUGGAGCCUCUGACGCUCCCAACACUUACUCAAACGCACAAGCAACACACACACUUCAUGCAGAACAACAUGCACGAGAAAGAGAGAAUGUGAGUCCUGUUUGCACCUGUGUGAUUGACGUGCAAACUUCUGCUUUUGAUCCUCCUGUGAUUUACAGAGAGUUUUAUUCCUGGGAAUAGUGGAAGGGAACUGACUCACUGGGUUUGAUGUCUGGAGCAGUGAAUCAUGGGGAGGACUGCAGCAGCUGGGGGUCUCCUGGAAAGAGUCAUCUUUAAAAACGCUUUGAUCUGCCUUGAUAAAAAGAAUUAUUUUACAAACUUUAUUUACCAAACGCUUUUCAUGCUCAAAGCUCAGAGCACCAGUAAUGCAUCUGAACACACUCAUGUUUACUGAUUGCACGUGACAA